rnacentral:misc_RNA from 1 species
GAAAUGCGAUAAGUAAUGUGAAUUGCAGAAUUCAGUGAAUCAUCGAAUCUUUGAACGCACAUUGCGCCCCCUGGUAUUCCGGGGGGCAUGCCUGUUCGAGCGUCAUUUCACCACUCAAGCCUCGCUUGGUAUUGGGCGACGCGGUCCGUCGCGCGCCUCAAAUCGACCGGCUGGGUCUUCCGUCCCCUCAGCGUUGUGGAAACUAUUCGCUAAAGGGUGCCGCGGGAGGUCACGCCGCAAAACAACCCCAUUUCUAAGGUUGACCUCGGAUCAGGUAGGGAUACCCGCUGAACUUAAGC